rnacentral:rRNA from 1 species
AUUGAACGCUGGCGGCAUGCUUUACACAUGCAAGUCGAACGGUAACAGGCCGCAAGGUGCUGACGAGUGGCGAACGGGUGAGUAAUGCAUCGGAACGUGCCCAGUCGUGGGGGAUAACUACUCGAAAGAGUAGCUAAUACCGCAUACGAUCUAUGGAUGAAAGCGGGGGACCGUAAGGCCUCGCGCGAUUGGAGCGGCCGAUGUCAGAUUAGUUAGUUGGUGGGGUAAAGGCUUACCAAGCCAACGAUCUGUAGCUGGUCUGAGAGGACGACCAGCCACACUGGGAGAGAGACACGGCCCAGACUCCUACGGGAGGAAGCAGUGGGGAAUUUUGGACAAUGGGCGAAAGCCUGAUACAGCAAUGCCGCGUGCAGGAAGAAGGACUUCGGGUUGUAAACUGCUUUUGUACGGAACGAAACGGCUCUGGUUAAUACCCGGGGCUAAUGACGGUACCGUAAGAAUAAGCACCGGCUAACUACGUG